CUAAAGACUGGGAUACCACUUGGAAACAGGUGCUAAUACCGGAUAACAACAUGAAUCGCAUGAUUCAAGUUUGAAAGGCGGCGUAAGCUGUCACUUUAGGAUGAGCCCGCGGCGCAUUAGCUAGUUGGUGGGGUAAAGGCCUACCAAGGCAAUGAUGCGUAGCCGAGUUGAGAGACUGAUCGGCCACAUUGGGACUGAGACACGGCCCAAAGAAGAAGGAUAGAGGCAGUAACUGGUCUUUAUUUGACGGUAAUCAACCAGAAAGUCA
rnacentral:rRNA from 1 species